rnacentral:rRNA from 1 species
GGAAACCGGAGCUAAUACCGGAUAAUAUUUUGAACCGCAUGGUUCAAAAGUGAAAGACGGUCUUGCUGUCACUUAUAGAUGGAUCCGCGCUGCAUUAGCUAGUUGGUAAGGUAACGGCUUACCAAGGCAACGAUGCAUAGCCGACCUGAGAGGGUGAUCGGCCACACUGGAACUGAGACACGGUCCAG